ACAUGUGGUUUAAUUCGAUGAUACGCGAGGAACCUUACCCGGGCUCGAACGGUGCAGGAAUAUGGUAGAGAUAUCAUAGCUAGCAAUAGUCUGUAUCGAGGUGCUGCAUGGUUGUCGUCAGCUCGUGCCGUGAGGUGUCGGCUUAAGUGCCAUAACGAGCGCAACCCUUGUCGUUAGUUACCAUCAAGUAAAGUUGGGGACUCUAGCGAGACUGCCACCGUAAGGUGUGAGGAAGGGGGGGAUGACGUCAAAUCAGCACGGCCCUUACGUCCGGGGCGACACACGUGCUACAAUGGCCGGUACAGACGGACGCAAAGCCGCGAGGUGGAGCAAAUCCUAAAAAGCCGGUCUCAGUUCGGAUUGCAGGCUGCAAUUCGCCUGCAUGAAGUCGGAAUCGCUAGUAAUCGCAGGUCAGCAUACUGCGGUGAAUACGUUCCCGGGCCUU
rnacentral:rRNA from 1 species